GGGGCCUUUGGGAUGUGAUUAGGGAUUAGUGCCCUUAUAAAGGGGCCCAAGAGAGAUCUCUCACCCUUUCUACUAUGUGAGCACAACAGCAGAAAGACAGCCAUCUACGAACCAGAAGGUGGGUCCUCACCAGACCCUGAAUCUGCUAGCACCUUGAUCUAGGGUUCCUAGCCUCCAAAAUUACAAGAAAUAAAUUUCUGUUGUUUAUAAGCUAUCCAAUUUCUGGUAUUUUUGUUACAGCAGCCUAAAUGCACUAAGACAGAGUGGUUUCUGGUAUUUCUGUUACAGCAGCCUAAAUGGACUAAGACACAGUGGUUUUCAAAUGUGUACAUCCAAUUACCAACCAGAAGCAUUUUCUUCCCUAAAUUUAAAAAAAAGUGCUAUAGUUUGGAUGACUGUCCCCCCCCAAAUCUCAUGUUGAUAUCUAAUUCCAACAUUGGAGGUGGGGUCUAAUGGGAGGUGUUUGGGUUAUGGGGGUGGACACCUCAUGAAGAGAUUAAUGCUGUCCCAGGGUGGUGGUGGGCAGUGAGUGAGCUCUGCUCUAUUAGUUCUUGCAAGAACUGGUUGUUAAAAGAACCUGGAACUUCUCUCCUGUCUCUCUCCAUUGCCUCUUUUCUCUCCAUGUAAUCUCUGCACAUGCAGGCUAGUCUUUGCCUUCUGCCAUGAUCGGAAGCAGCCUGAGGCCCUCACCAGAAACUGAGCAGACGCUGGUGCCAUGUUUCUUGCGCAACCUGCAGGACCAUAAGCCAAAUAAACCUCUUUAUUUACAAAUUACCCAGCCUCAGGUAUCUCUUCAUAUCAACACAAAUAGACUAAGAAAGCAGAGGCUACUCAUCUAUAAAACCGUAAGUGCACUUGCUUACAUGAAGGUAAGAGGUUUUUCUGGCCAGUCUCUCCUUAGCUUUGUUAAUUUGGGUGGGAAAAACCUAAACAACUCUGUAACCCAUAUGUUAUUCAUAAGCUUCAGCCCUCCACCUUUACAUCUUAGCCCAAAUGAACUUGAAUAUCCCUCUUUCACACAUUCCCACCAUUGCAAAACAGACAGAGGAUAGAAAUCCAGAGAAUGGGUUACUCAGGGGCAGCAGGAGGCUUACAAUGAAACCAAAUCUUUGAGUAACAAUCUCUUUUCUUCUAGAUAACAACCACUUUAAAUUUCUAAACUUUCUUCAGUGAUUUAUUUGAAAAAAUGUUAAAACCCUACAGGUGUCCAGCACUUAAUAGAUGGUCAAGAAAUGCUUGAUAAGACUUACUGUGCCCUUAUGUACAUCAUCUCAUUUCAUCUUAAUAACAACCCUAACAACAGGCAUAUUAUGAUCCCAUUUUAGAGGUGAGGCAAUUAAGGCUUAAAGGUUAGAAGAGCCUCCCAGGGGCCCUCAACAACAGGGCAAAGGGAACACAUGAACCCAAAUAUUGCUGAUCCCAGGACAUGGAUACUAACCACACACAAUACACUAGCUCUAUUCAGGGUACCUUGGAGUCAGCCUGUGGACUCAAGGCCUGCAUCUAACCUUGACCCACAAUCUGAUGGGACUUCAUCCCUCACCUAUCCAAACACAGCAAAGACACGGGGCACCUAAAAACAGCUUUUAGCAAAAUACUAGGGGUGAUCUCCUGCCCAGGACUCUUCUCUGCACACACACUACUGAUGCCAGGGAAAAAGCUCAUCACUGCUCUUCCUGGGGAUGGGGUGGCUGCAAGGCCUGCAACACACAAAGAUUACGCGGUGCCUCUGCUCUUUAAAUUCCCUGUAAAUAUAUGGAUGGAAUGAGUGAGAAAGAUGGCUGCUCAGGUCCAUCUGGUAGUUAUUUUCUUUACAAGAGUAAUCAUUAUGUUAUACCACGUCCCUUUCUUAUUGUAACAGGCUUAUUAGGACACUAUUAGUCAAGGGGAGACAGAGGCUAACCCAUGGCAUAAAAGCUUGGGUGAGCAAAGAAUAGUAAGACUUGUGCUUUCAAAGGCAUAUGUGGGUGUCUGAUUGAUCUCCUGGGUUAAAGAUGCUCAGUUUUACCUUUCUAUCCAAUGGUGCCUACCACAGGACCUGGCACUAGGGGUAUGAGAAUGUGAGGAGCUAAACUGCAGAAUACAUUUGGAAGAACUUCACUUCAUUCCUACUGUUAACCACUCUUAAAAUUACCAGGAUAAAAAUUUAAGAGAUGGGCUCAUAUUCCAUCCAGGACAUCAUCUCUUUCUUGUCUAAAUCCAUUUUUUUUUUUUUUUUUUUUUUUUAGCAGGGUCUCACUCUGUUGCCCAGGCUGGAGUGCACUGGCACGAUCUGGUCUUGGCUCACAGCAACCUCUGCCUCCAGAGUUCAAGCGAUUCUCCUGCCUCAGCCUCCCCAGUAGCUGGGACUACAGGUGUGCACCAGCACACCUGGCUAAUUUUUGUAUUUUUAGCAGAGACUGGGUUUCACCACGUUGGCCAGACUGAUCUCAAACUCCUGACCUCAAGUGAUCUUCCCAGCUAGGCCUCCCAAAGUGCUGAGAUUACAGGCGUGAGCCACCACGCCCAGCCUAAAUCUCUUUCACAGCCAGGAUCUGUUUUGUUUUGUACUCCAUGUGCUCUACACUGGACCUAUGUAAAUGGGAACACGGUAUGGGAUGAAAACAUUUCAUGGACCAGAAGCCAACAGGCAAACUAACAUGAGCCAGUGGAGAACACUUGGCAAGUUAUUUAACUUUCUGAGCUUCUGUUUUUUCAUUUGUGAAAUGGAAGGAAAGAGUCAUGGGUAAGAGCACCUACUUUGCAGGGUCUUUCUGAGGAUGAAAUAAAAUAAUGCAUGUACACCUCCAAUCCAAACAGUACUUGGCAUAUAUAAUAACGGUGCUUUGAAAGCCUGUGUGAGACUUCAGAGAAGGGCACUGCCCCAGGAAAAAAUUCUUUUCUUAUUUUGGUAACAGUGUGAGCUCGGAGAUGGGCAACACUAGGUUCAAAUCUCAGCUCUACAUUUAGAAUCUAACUUCUAGCCUUAAUCUUUCAUAAUCUGCCACUCCCAUUAAAAAAAAGAGGUCUAUCUAAUGAAGAACAUGGAGAAGGUAACGUAUGCACAUACAGAAAGCACCUUAAGUGCAUGGCACCCAGUGGAACUCAAUGAAUAUUAUUUUCUUUCCUUUUAAGCUCCUUGGUCUAUGGUCCAAUGCAUAAUUGCCUUAUAAAUAGAUUCUUACUCAUCAAAUAUUUUUAUAGCGAGGCAAGCACCAUCUCUGAACACAGAAAGAGCCACUUACAGACAAAUCUCAACAGAACUGCCAAUUCAAAUUGUGUGGUUAUACUCAUUUAAUCCAGUGUAGCUAGGUAACACAUUUGUAAACCAAAUCCUAAUUUUCCUUAUAAAUCACAGAAAUAAAAUAGAAGUGACAAUCUGUAACUUUUUUUUUUUAGCAGAAGUGGGCUGUUUUGUUAGAUAUACUGUGGAAUGGCUCUAUGCAGGAGCUUUUCAGAAACAAAAUAUACUUCAUGGUGAAUACUCUAAUAGAUACAUUUCAAAGUGUUUGGACAUCUGGAACACCUUGUGAUACAAUUGUCUAUCAGAUUUACUUAUUUCCAGUUCUGAAAAGGACAAAAUAGUUUCUGGGAUUUGGGGCUUUAUAAAACUUGAUCUGGGUGGAUCUAGUGGAACAAAAAUAAUGCCUCCCCUAAACCUGGAAACAAUUUUGUUAACUGGGUCAUCACGGAGAAACUCAUUCUUUUUAAACACGAGCCCACUUUUGGUUAGCAACCUGAAAAGUUUUGGUGAGUGCCAAGACAGGCCUUUCAAUCUUGAACUCAUCACCAAAUGAAUACAUAUCAAGAGCUUACAGUGCACAUGGCAAUGGAUUAGUGCCACAGACAUAGCACUGGACAAGACAGACUCUUCCACUUAUUUAGUUACAGCUAUGAUAAAUGCCAUGCAGGAGGAUUACUAAAGUAAGAGUCUCAGGGCACCAGAUGUAGUCUGUGAGGUCCGAGAGGCCUGGCUUCCUACAGGUAGUGAUGCUUGAGCUGAGCUGAGAAUAGAAAGAACGAUUGUCUAGUGAUAUGCAAAUCCUAAGUGUAGACAGAAAGGCUGUGGGCAAGAGGGGAGAGGUGGAAAAUCUGCAGGUUAUUUAGCGCAGAGUACUUGGUAAGAUUGCUACAGGUAGACAGAAGAGCAAGUGCAAAGGCCUGGAGGCAGAAAGGAGCUCAGGGGCACAUGCACUGACUCUCAGAGACAUCAGAAGCUGAAAGAAGAGGAUGAAGGGGAGAAGAAUCCAGGCAGGUGGAAGCCAGUAGGAUCCAGAGCACGUUGGACCUUACUGCCAACCAAGAGAAAUGGGACAGCAUAGGAGGCUUGAGGGAGAGUGAUAAAAGAUACACAUUUCUAAGAGAUUAAUUCCUGAUGCUAGGUAAAGAAGGAAUUGAAGAGGAGCAAGAAGAUUUGUAGAGGAAAGAGUUAUGGUCCAGGCAAGACUGUUUGAGACAAAGGCCAAUUUUGCCCCCCAAGGGACAUUUGGCAACGUCCAGAAAUAUUGUUGAUAUUACUUGGAAAGCGCAACUAGCCUCUAGUAGGUAGGUAGGUAGAUGCCAGGGAUGUUGCUAAACAUCCUACAAUGCACAGGUCAGCCUCCCACCCCCAUCACCACCACCACCAACACACCCACACCCAAGAAUUAUCCAUUCCAAAAUGUUGGCAGUGCUGAUUCAGAAACUCUGGUUUGGACCAAGGUGGUCAUUUGAGUGAGCUGGAGAGCUGUGAAUAGAUUCAAAAUGUAUUUAGGAAGUAAAAUCCGCAGGAUUCAAAGACAGACUGGAUGCGAGGUUAAAGAACAAAAGGUAUUGAGGAUGUAUCUCAAGUUUUUCAAUCAAUCCAAGGAAAGUUAUGUCCAGAAUUGUUCCUUUCCCAGAAAGAAAAGCAAAAAAGAUGUUUGCUCUGGAGUGCUUUUGCUUUAGGAAUCAGAGGGGUAAGUCAGGGUGGGAAACUGAGGCUGGGAGCAGAACUCUAACUUACUCAAGCGUAGCAAUCCCAAGUCUGUUGCAGCUCAGAUGUGGCCUCAGUGAGAUCAGAGAUGCCUGUCUAGGCUAUGAUUACCUGUCAUUUAACUGCUAAGCAGUCUGGGUUUUUUUGUUUGUUUUUUUUUUUUCUGAGACGGAGUCUUGCUCUUUCAUCCAGGCCAGAGUGCAGUGGCGCUAUCUCGGCUUACUGCAAGCUCCGCCUCCCGGGUUCACGCCAUUCUCCUGCCUCAGCCUCCCGAGUAGCUGGGACUACAGGCGCCCGCCACUGUGCCCAGCUAAUUUUUUGUAUUUUUAGUAGAGACGGGGUUUCACUGUGUUAGCCAGGAUGGUCUCGAUCUCCUGACCUCGUGAUCCACCUGCCUCGGCCUCCCAAAGUGCUGGGAUUACAGGCGUGAGCCACCGUGCCCGGCCUAGGCAGUCUGGGUUUUAAAAUUUUAUCCUGGUCUUAAGAAAUUUAGGAAGGUGUUUAGACAAUGAUCAGUGAAACCAUAACUGUGUGAAGACCAAUACAUGUUUGGUCUAUAUCUACCUGAGCGUAAGCUCUUUGUCUAACUUAGCAGCUACUUAAAGGACCAGCAUCAUCUGGGAGCUCAUUGGAACUGCAGAAUAUCAGGCCCCUGGCCAGCCCUAAUGGAUCAGAAUCUCUAGGGGUGAGACUCAGGAAUCUGUGUUAAGUCUCCAGUGACUCCAAUCAUGCUAAGGCUUGAGAAUCCUUAAUAUAGCUCACAUGGUAGAACAGAAGAAACAACGUCUAUGCUGGUACAGCACUAACAAACCCUAAGCGCUCAGCAGGUGUCAAAAAAACUGAAACCUAAGAUAAUUUAAAGAAUGCCACAUCAUUUGUGCAAGUUCUAGGCUGCUGAAGAGCUGGUACGGAAAAUCUGAGUGUUUCUAAUCUCCUUCAGCUUAUAACAGAGAAGCAAACAUUAGGGCGUAUUUUAAAAAGAAAAUAAAAAUGUUGCACAUGAGAGUUUCCAGGACAUAUAAAUCCUUCUGCCUUUUAGAAGAGAAUAAACAGUACCCAGCAGGAGCAGAGAGCCAGUCCAACGAAAUAAACAAGUUCUUAAACAGCUUCCAAUGGGAGGAGUUUUAUGGUUGACCCAGGAACAGCAAGAGCGUUCAGUAAGGGCCACUGAGGGUUAAUUUCGGGGCAAGGAGAGACAGCAAGCUUCCCUAAGGCCUCAGUUGAGGCCAGGCUGGGUCUGAGGCCAGGGAAACUAUCUAGGGCAGCUUCUGGGCUAGACCAUCCUUUGCUGUUCUCAAGGCUGGCACUGAGGUUGGCAAAAGUUCCAAGCAGGGCUCCAACUCCAGAACAAACCUUUCUCCGUAAGUUCAAAAUCAACAUCUCGUCUCUAAGCUUAACAUCCUUCUUUAUGCUACCCACUAACUCAACAGAGCCUCAAAAACACCCACAGUUUUGAUUCAAGUAUCAUAUUUUUGACUCUGAGGGAGAUUUUACCCAAACACUCCAGAAAGAAAACAGAAAGUUAAGAAGAAAUAAUAAACUAGCUCAACAAUAAAUGAUGCAUAAACUCUGGGGCAGUGAAUGGCUUAUUUAUAAAUAACCGUCAUUUGAAACGACGAAGGAAGUCCAGAUGACAGCAUAAACAGCAGAAACUCCUUCACCCUAAAUCUGGCGCCUGAUUGAAGACCAAGGUUUGCCCUCUGUUUUGGUGAUUCGAAGGCUCACACCAGUCUUUUGUGUGCCUGUGAGGUCCUGGGUGAGCUGUGGAGCUGUAAAUAUUUGCCCUUCACCCAGAGCUGGCCAGCUGCUGAGACUGCAGCUGACAGACAGGCCAGGGGCCAGGAAGGGGGGCCAGGUCGGAAAACUUGCAGGCCUGGUGUGCACGUAAGGAUAGGGGGCUGGGAGAGGGCAGGGGGAGGCAAAGCAGACACAGGCCCUUGGGGGAGCCUCGGGCAAAUAUUUUCCCCUUUCUGCCACGCCAUCUGGAGCAGGCAACCAGAGCGGUGGCAGCAGGCCCAGGCCCCUCCCCAGGAAGGCAGAAGUACCCAGCUGUUGAAAAUGUGGCUUUUGCAAUCAGGGAAACCAGUGGUUCUCAACCUGGGCGACUUUGCCCCUCUAGAGGACACUUGACAACAUUUGGAUUGUCAGGACUUGGGAGGGAGGCCAAGAAUGCUGCUAAACAUCCUACAAUGCACAGCACAGUACCUCCCCUCCCAACUAAGAGUUAUGGGGCCCAAAAUGCCAAUAUGCCCCAAAACUGAGAACUCUGAGGUAGAAUCUGAGUCCAGCUCUGCUCCCUGAGUCACUAUUUAAUUUUGGACAAGUUCUAUAACUUCUCUGAGUCUGUUCCCUCAUCUCAAAGGACAACAUAGGUAAUGCAUGUAAAGUACUUCCUAUUGUUGGUGGCACUUAAUAAACACUCAAUAAAUGGUCCUUGUGGUUGCACUGAGGAGCAACAUUAUAGUUUAUAGAACGUGGGCUGGAAAGAUGGGCACACAAAGGUUCAACAUGCAGCUUUGCACCCAAAAGCUGUGACCCAGGCAUGAAACUGCCCCUUAAUGAGCCUCAGUUUUUUCAUCUACUAAAUGGGAAGGGUCACACCAACCUCACUUGAUUAAAAAGGAAAUGACUGGGAAGAAUGCAGCACCCAGCCUAGAGCAAAGUAAACCGUCACUCAAGGGGACCGCUCAGGUGGAGAUGUUAAAAAUAAUUGUAGGUAACACUUGUUGAGCAUUUAUUUACUCUCUGCCAGGCACAGUACCAGGCCCUUCUACUAAACUCUCUCCCUGAAGCCUGACAAAAACCUUUCGCACUGAGGGAAACUGAGGGACCUGGGAAUUCAGCCAGAAGUUCACCCAGCUGGUCAGCAAAAAGCCCAGAUUUGAAAACAGUUUUAACUCCAGAGGACUCACACUUAAUUAUUACUUUAUACUUGUUGGGGGCAGAGUGCUCCUUUAAUUCUUUCUGAAAUCCCCGGAUGAAUACCUCUGGGGUGCCUGGCUGUGUUUUUACUCUGUAUACCACGUCUCUAGCGACCAUAGUUUCCAACUUUAGAGAGGUUAAGCAGCUUGCUCAAGGUCAGUCAGCUAGUUGCCUGCAAAGCCCACGCCUGCAUCCAGCUUUUACCCCAGAGGCCUCUCUUCUGGUAUCCUUCUUAACUUAAUCUACGCUAGCUGUGGGUUCCCUUUAUUUUUUUUCUGGAAUCCUAGAGGAUGCACGGAUACAAUUCACCCAAUGUGUCCAUCUUUCCUCUCCUGAGUGUCAGUCUAUAGAUUUCUGACCUCUAGAGGGUAAGCAACUUGCCCGAGAUCCCCUAGCUGGUCUGAGCAGCAAAGCCUUUGAACGCAGUUUUGACUCUGGAGCUGCAUUCUUCAUUCUUAUCCUACACUUGCUUGUGGAUUCUUUUUCGUCCUUCCAGAACCCCUGAAGCUGUGCAGCUAUACUUUACCGGUUACGUCUAGACUAUAAGGGACCACAGUGUUCCAUCUCAGGCAGGUUCAGCGACCUGCAAGUAGUGAUACAGCUGGGAAAGUUACAGAGCCUGCGGGACGCUCCCGCUGCAACUUCAGUUCCGACCAGAGGUUCUGCGAACCUCCAGGGUUUAGCAGGUUUCCAGGACCGGUGGGUGAAUCUACCCGGGGAAGUUUUGGUGGACAAGAGCUGCUCCCCAGCUGUCGGAGUGGGAGAGGCCAGCGUGCUGGCUCCAUCCACUUCACCUAACACCUCUGAAGUGUCUGCCCUGCAGUGUGGCAAGCGUGGUGCUGAGCGCUUCUAAAUCCGUCGCUUUAAAGAUCAUUAGUACAAUGUUGUGAGAGGGUUAGCUCCAUUUGAAAAUUAUUUUCCCGCGAUUACAAAAGAAGCGAUGCUUACUGCAGAAGUUAGAACUGGGAGAAGACUCAUCACCCCCAUGAUCAUGUCAACAACUGCCCUCCUUCAGUUUUGGUUUGUUUUGUGUGUACACUUUGUCAUCUUUCCAUUGAGGAAACUCAGGCUAGAAGGAGGAUAAAAACAAAACAGAAAACAAAACAAAACAAAAGUGCCCUGUAGGGUCCUGUAGGUCAGUGUUUCUCACAUUUUAAUGUGGUUGCGGUUCUGAUACAGUGGGUCUGGGGCGGGUUCUGAGAAUCUCCAUACUGAAAGCACUUCCAAGUGAUGCCAAUGCUGCUAGUCCAUGCUGGUCCUUGGAUUCCCAAUUGAUUGGAAAACCCUGGCGAUCCAUAGAUCUGGACAUUCCCUGCAGUACAGCAAACCUGGCUGGAUAGCAUUCAGCAACACUCCUGAGCAAUGGAGGAAUAUUUUUGGAAUUCCAAACUGGGUGUAAAGUUCAUAGCAUCAUCCAUUGAUUUUAUUUUUUUUACAUCCCAAGGCUAUAGACAUUCCUAAGAAGCAUGCAGUCAGCAUUGGUGAGAGUGGAAUCAAGCUAUGGAAUUCUCAUUUGGAGUCUGCUGCCAGUUUCUGAACAGUGAAGCGGGAGAGUUCUGAACAGUGAAGCAGGAGCUCUGUAUUCAGCGAGACUCUGGGGCCUGGAAAGUGGGAUUACAGCAUCCAUUUUGUCUAAUUGCUUUCCUUCUUUCUUUUAUGUGGCUGCUAAAGCCCCAUGACCUUCACUAUUUAACUGCUUCAUCAGAGUGAAAGAAUUGCCUUGAUGUUCAUAAGGAUUACUUUUUUCGCACUGACCUUUAAAAAGUUGUCACUCACUAGAUUUUUCAGUGCAUGGUUGAGGUCACUGAACAGUGUUCUUUAAUCAGUUUUGGUGGCAUUUGUUGCCUAUUUGAGGUGGAGACUUUCUUUUAAUUGCUUUAAUCAAUUAAUGCAUUGCUUUGAUAGGAUUCUGCAUGGGGUGGAAUAUUAUUGGCCUUUGUUCAGAUAAGCUUGUGCCAGGGAAUCCUCCAUCAGUAUAUUCAUUAAGCUACUCAUUGGCUCUCAGAUAAUGGGUAGGAAACAAAUUCUUUCACCAAAGGUGUGUGGGCUUGUCAGUUUCACAGAAUGAGCUAGUGUCAACAGGGUGAUAAUCUUCAAACCAAACUGGUUUUGAGAAACAGAGAAGUUCUGUCCUACACCAUAAAUGUAAAUUAGUGCUUACUUGGGGUGUACACUUUUUUGGAGAUGUUCUACCACCACUCAGGUUGUCUCCCAGAUGGCAGAUUGAGAGGUUGUUGCUGAAAUGCUACAGCGGAGGCCACAGAGAAGCCAUAGCCUACUGUGGAUUGGCCUGUUUAGGCAAAAGGAAAGUCUGUGCCACUCCUCAUUGGUUAAUUUUAGUAUCAAAAUUCUUGGAAGUUAGAAAAAAAAAAUCCUACAAUGUCAGAACUGGCAAGACCAUGCAUGUUAUUUCAGUCACUGAACUUGACAGGAGAAACGAGAGCCAAAAAUAUUAGGAAAAAGGAGUUGAGGGCAAAGUUUCUCAACCUUGGUACUACUGACAUUUUCAUUCAAAUAAUUAUUUGUUGUGGUGUGUGUGGGGGUUGGGGGGUGGUUAUCGUCUGCAUUGCAGGAUAUUUAGGAGCAUCUCUGGCCACUAUCCACUAGACAUAGUAACAACCCCUUGUUGUGACAACCAGACAUGGCCAGUGCCAGAUUGAGAACCACAGUUUUAAGGAAGCUUUUUGCUCAUUACUGAAGUCAGGCAAUGCUGUCAGCCCACAUUUUCUGCUGGCUGUGGAACCACCUGGUGAAUGCUGCACAGUGAGAGAGGGAUGUUAUUAUAAAUCGAAAACUCAAGGCACCAUACCAAUAAACAUGAAUAAAAACUGUAGGAAGAUGAAUGUUUGGUGUGGCAGGCCUCCUGAGAAAAGUAGCUGAUUUUUCUGACAUGGAUUAGAUACUUACUCAACCGUCCCAGAAACAUCUGAGUGUUUAUAUAUGGAUGAAUUCCUUGUGGACAGCUGGAUUGGUCACUUUGCAAAUUAUUUUUGCGGCUUCCACUACCUCUUGCUCUUACCCCUUCCUUUUAUUGUCUGAUUCUGCACUUUCUAACCAAAAUGUGGCCCCAAGCCUAAUAAAAAUACUAUUUCUAUAUUCACCACGA